CACUUUCUUGUUUAAUAAAUUACAUACUUUCCAGCACAGUUGCAUAGAAAUGGAAAAGUCUUGUUCCCACACUGAUUGACUCAGCAUCUUGUUAAUCAUUGCUGUGUGUACUAUGAAUUUAUUGUUCAGCUGUAACAAUGUGAGACGUUUUGCCUAUGACAGCUUAAAAUAUGUACUAGGUACAUGAGUUCUUAGUGAGAUAAAAUGUACUCAGUUUACAGUAUUUUAUCAUGACAAAAAAAACAUCUAAAAUAAUGUUAUUUGACACAUGAGAUGUGGCAAAAAAGUUGAGACACAACAGCUAUCACUGUAAAUGUUUAUAGAUGUACCUAAAGUCUUAUCUAAAGUUCAUCCUGUUAAAGGACAUGUUUUAUGUUGUACAAUUCCUCUUAGAAUAUCAAUCUAAUAAGCACCAAAUGAGGCUGAAGACAAUGCUGUUAUAAAAAAUGGAGAAAAAUGAUUAAAAUGUGAUAAUUAUACUGACAGUUUAUAUGCUCAAUCUAAUCAACCAAGCUUCCAAUUUGUCAUAAUGUACACUCACUCAUACAUUAUUGCUUAAUUAUAGCAACACUUCUAUUUCGAAAGGCUGUCAAUCAUGCAAAUGCCCAUCAUUUUUCUCUAUUUGCAUUUAAGAGACAUAUUUUUAGUUCAUUCCAAAGCCUACCGUGAACCUGAAUUAACCCUAGCUCUUUCUUUCUAUUGCAGUGCUCAUCUCUGUUUAUUCUGUUUGCCAUCUGUAGUACAGUUUACGCUGCAUGAUUUCUUACUUUAAAUUUCAUCAAGAGAUUUUUGAAUGUAAUUUCCGCUCCCAAACUGUAGACUCAGUGAUCUACGUAGUCUUGAGAGAUGCAGUUCUUAGCUUGAACUACUCAGGAUCUGAGUCUAAACUUCAGUCAGGUUGUACAGUGAUGCACCUUGUAUGAGUCUACAGAUACCUCAUGCACUAGCUGGAGAAGAGAAGGAAAAUUUACCAGCAAUCAGCAGCAUUAGAAGAGCUCCAUGCUGUCCAUUUUCAUGUAUUUUUCUUAGUUUAUACAGUUUUAUAGGCUCACAAUCUUUUGUUGCAAAUGCGAAAGAAGAUCUGGAAUGUUAUGUCUCAUGAAAAUCAUGAUACUGCUACUGAUAGUAUAAUAUAGUAUAUAAUCUUACAUUGAAUUUGUUGAUGUUAUAUCAGUUUGUCUGUUAAGGAUUCUAUCAUUCUUUGUGUUGAUAGACAUUUCUUGAAAACUGAGAAUUACUAUUACUAAACAUUAAAGAGACAACUGAUGCUUACCAUUUACUUUUCUCUCUGUUGAGAAAAAAUGAUAUUUUGCCACUGUUACAAGACUGACAUCUUUCAGUAACUUCUGUUCUUUAGUUAGUCAUUCAGUUUUAUUGUAUGACAAGUUUCUCCUCUGGGAAUGACAAGAUGAAAUAUUUUUAAAAAACAGGUAUGAAGUUUGGUUGGUCAAAAUGCACCCACUCAAGUCGAGUGUACUCUGAAUUAUUUCUAUACCAACUUAGCAACCUUCAUGUGAAUAGCAGCUUUUCCAGGAGGUUGGAUUUUUAAAUCAAUGGAAUCAUGGAGGGUAGAGGCGAGGCUUUCAUGGCUGAAGAGAGUAAAUUAAGAAGAGUGGAUUUUUUCUGCUUUCAGGGAAGUAAAAAUUUGGCCAAAGGACUCUGAGAUGAUGGCAAAGUCGAAGUAGAACUUACCAAUAAAUAGUUGAAGAAGCUACCA
ensembl:lncRNA